rnacentral:rRNA from 1 species
ACGGGAGGCAGCAGUAGGGAAUAUUGCGCAAUGGGGGGAACCCUGAUGCAGCAACGCCACGUGUGGGAAGAAGCAUUUCGGUGUGUAAACCACUGUCGUGAGGGAAUAAUGCUUGAUUUCGGUCAAGUUGAAUGUACCUCGAAAGGAAGCACCGGCAAACUUCGUGCCAGCAGCCGCGGUAAUACGAGGGGUGCAAGCGUUGUUCGGAAUCACUGGGCGUAAAGGGAGCGUAGGCGGAGACGCAAGCAGUCUGUUCAAUCCCGGGGCCCACCCCCGGACCUGCAGCCUGGACUGUGUCUCUUGGAUAGUUCAGGGGCAGGCGGAAUUCCUGGUGUAGCGGUGGAAUGCGUAGAGAUCAGGAAGAACACCGAUGGCGAAGGCAGCCUGCUGGGGACUCAUCGACGCUGAGGCUCGAAAGUGCGGGUAGCAAACAGGAUUAGAUACCCUGGUA